rnacentral:lncRNA from 10 species
GAAAGAUCACCCUGAUCAGAGCUGGGAGAAUGGAGGUGCCGGGCAGGAGCAGAUGCCAGGGCCUGCUUGGAGGCAACUGGAAUACUCCAGGCUGUUUUUUUGGAGUCUCAACUGGCAAAUUUCUACAAAGUGCUCUUCUUCACAAGACUUCCUGUUACCUCAGGACCAGAGGUAACCAUGAAGCUGAGGGCGGUGGGGCAGCCUCACUAGUGAAAUGACUCCCUCCCGCUCACAAGCCUUCCAUGGGGCUCACGCCACACCUCAGCAACAUUACAAAUGCCGACCUAAGUAACACGGGGGUUGACUUCAGACAUUGUGGUCAGGCCGACUUGUGUUUAAACCUAGGCUUUGACACCGGUCGAUCGUUCAGCCACAUGCAGGUUACCUAAGCAUGUCCCACGUGGCACAAAGCAGUUGCCUGAACGCCACACUGGGAGGCUUGUCUUAACUUUAUCCUGGCUUCCACCUGCACUCGCCGUGAUUCUGAGGGCUACUGACCCCAGCCUGGUGCUGCGUUUGGGCUCAAAAAAUUGCAAUGCUGUCAAGCUGCAGAAUCUCUAUUGCCCAACAGAUACUGUUGUCUUGCCAAAUAAUUUUUAGUAAUUUUCCACCCAUCCCCCUUUAUGUAAUUUUCCAUUUCCCCAUAGCCCCUCUAGUCUGUUUUUUUUUUAUUCCCUCCUUUCACUUCCCCAUAAUCCCUUUUAGUUCCCUCUCUGUUCUCCCUUUAGAAACCUCCAUACCUUUGUCCUAGCUGGAUUUGAGCUCAGUUAUAUUGGAGUCUCUUUCCUCUAAGGCAGUAGACUGAACAAAAUGUUUUGCCGCCUUUAAUGUGUGUCUGGCACUGGCAUUGAUGAAGGCUUAGCUUCUGCACCUGUAACAUGAACAGAGAUAACCGCUGGUAAGAGUUUGGCUUAUAUUCUUCUACAUUUUUUUCCCCACAAGAAACUGAAAUUUGAAUUUUCUUCUACAAGUGAGAAAAAAAAAAAGUAAAAUCUCUAACUGUCUUAGUGAUGAUAAUUCUGAGAAGACAGGCCCAUUGAGCCAAGUAGGAGGAUAGGUUUCCUGAGGAUGGAGAUGCAGAAAUAGUUGACUUUGCCUUCACGAAGCAUCCUGACAUUUUUAGAUGUGGCUACACUCUGUGGGCCGGAAGUCGAAUUCCCUGGAGGGCUAGAGCUCUCAGUAUUUUGGACAUAUGUGAAGUCAGCACAGGGGGCAGGCGGUAAGUUAACUUGAAGAGAAUUCCAGUUACAAAUUUAGCUCAGCUUCUAAAAAACACUCCCAUCGAAGAGAGAUUCCUGGUUGCUGUGGAACUGCGUCCCCUGUGGGAUUUUCCUUGUGGAGUUAACUAGACACAGUUGUUACUAGGUAGCGGGACAACAGAUUUGCUUAAGAUCUCUUCGAUUUUGACAGUUUGAUGAUGGGUGACUUAUGUGGUAUUGUGGACAUCUGUUGGCUUUAUAUUUUGCCUGCCAAGCAUCCAUACUUUCUUUUUUCUGGUAUCCAUACUCAAUUUUUCUUCUGGUUCACCACCUAUACCGGGUUGAAUAAUGCCUCCCUCCCCACCCCAAUUCAUGUCUACUCGGAAGCUCAGCAUGUGACUUUAUUUGGAAAUAAGAGUCUUUGUGGAUAUAGCUAGGAUGAGGUCAUCCUGGAUUAGGGGGGGUCCUAAGUUCAAGGACUGGUGUUACCAUGAGAAGACACAGAGAAGGAAGGAGAGGCAGAGACUGGAAUGAAAUAACUGGAAGGGAAAGAACACGGAGGAUCGGGAUUGUCAGCGCCUCCAGGAGCUAGGAGAGAGGCCUGGAACGGGCUCUGCCUCAGAACCUCCAGCAGGAACCAACUCUUUGGACACCUUGAUGUUGGGCUUCUGGCCUCCAGGACUGGGAGAAGAUGCAUUUCUGUUGUUUAAGUCCUCCAGUUUGUGGUAUUUGUUAUGGCAGCCCUAGCAAAUUAAUAUACCUCCCAUUUACCCUGUCAAAAUGAUCCGGGGGCUAGUCUCUGUUGUGCUGGGCUCCUAUUAACUUCGGUAGGGAAGGCAUUAGGUUCAGGAGGAUGAGGAAGAGACCCAGAGUCCUCAAAUGAGACAUGGGGUUUUAUUAGCAGGAAGCUUACAUACACAGUGGUCCAGUGGUGGUGGGCUGGGCAGGAGAACCACAACUGCUUCCAAAAGCAUGUGGUUUGUACAGCAUUUUCACCUAGCACCCUCCCUGUAACAAUCUCCACCUGGCAACCCUCGUUUAACUCAAAACAAAGGGCCUCAAUGUCCUGCACGGGCCCUUUACGUUCCAUGCGUCAGGCUGGGG